UACGGAGGGUGCGAGCGUUAUUCGGAUUCACUGGGCGUAAAGCGCGCGUAGGCGGUUUGGUAAGUCUGAUGUGAAAGCCCUCGGCUCAAUCGAGGAAGUGCAUUGGAUACUGCCGAACUAGAGUACAGGAGAGGAAGAUGGAAUUCCCGGUGUAGAGGUGAAAUUCGUAGAUAUCGGGAGGAACAACAGAGGCGAAGGCGAUCUUCUGGACUGUAACUGACGCUGAGGUGCGAAAGCAUGGGUAGCAAACAGG
rnacentral:rRNA from 1 species